rnacentral:rRNA from 1 species
CGGAGGGUGCAAGCGUUGUUCGGAUUUACUGGGCGUAAAGCGCGCGCAGGUGGGUGGACAAGUCGGAAGUGAAAUCCCAGGGCUCAACCCUGGGGCUGCUCCCGAAACUGUUCGUCUAGGGACUGGUAGAGGCUGGUAGAAUUCCCGGUGUAGCGGUGGAAUGCGUAGAGAUCGGGAAGAAUACCUGUGGCGAAGGCGGCCAGCUGGGCCAGAUCCGACACUGAGGCGCGAAAGCGUGGGGAGCAAACAGGAUUAGAUACCCUGGUAGUCCACGCCGUAAACGAUGGGCACUAGGCGCGGGUGGGAGCGACCCCUUCCCGUGCCGCAGCUAACGCGAUAAGUGCCCCGCCUGGGGAGUACGGCCGCAAGGCUG